rnacentral:rRNA from 1 species
ACAGCAGCCGCCACGGUAAUACGUAGGUGGCAAGCGUUGUCCGGAAUUAUUGGGCGUAAAGGGCUCGCAGGCGGUUUCUUAAGUCUGAUGUGAAAGCCCACGGCUCAACCGUGGAGGGUCAUUGGAAACUGGAAAACUUGAGUGCAGAAGAGGAAAGUGGAAUUCCAUGUGUAGCGGUGAAAUGCGCAGAGAUAUGGAGGAACACCAGUGGCGAAGGCGACUUUCUGGUCUGUAACUGACGCUGAUGUGCGAAAGCGUGGGGAUCAAACAGGAUUAGAUACCCGAGUAGUCCCUGUCUCUUAUAC